rnacentral:SRP_RNA from 1 species
GUCCGGGAACCUGGCAAUAAAGAACUGUGAACUUUGUCAGGACCGAAAGGUAGCAGCAAUAAGCAGACCUCUUUAUGUGUUUGGGAUUUCCCGGGCCCC